UACGAAGGGGGCUAGCGUUGCUCGGAAUUACUGGGCGUAAAGGGAGCGUAGGCGGACUGUUAAGUUAGAGGUGAAAGCCCGGGGCUCAACUCCGGAAUUGCCUUUAAGACUGCAUCGCUAGAAUUGUGGAGAGGUAAGUGGAAUUCCGAGUGUAGAGGUGAAAUUCGUAGAUAUUCGGAAGAACACCAGUGGCGAAGGCGACUUACUGGACACAUAUUGACGCUGAGGUGCGAAAGCGUGGGGAGCAAACAGG
rnacentral:rRNA from 1 species